AAAAAGUCACUGCCUUACAGGGCAACAAAUCAGCAGCUUAAGCUUUCGUACGCAGCCAAAACCCAAAACUAUGCCUUUCUAACGGUUCUCGGUGAAACAGGAUGACGUCUCCUGUUGUCUCUCGUGUGCAUUUUAAACCAGGAAUGUAAACAAGCCGAUUAAAGUCUGCAAAGUUCUCACGAUUCCAAUCAUACCUUAAACUUCCCCAUUUCCAUAGCUGGCAUACCGGAGUCUGUCAACCAAACCCAACCGACCUACAACAGAGAGAGUAAAAGCAGUCUCACUGAAAAUACUGCACCACACCUGCUCUUAGGGCCCUUAAAAUAACAGCAACACCCCUCACAGUUUCUAUAAAUAGAAAAAAACCCAAAGCUUCCGACUUUAGGCGGUUAAACCUGCUCAAAACAAACAAUAAAAUCCAAGAAGACGCAAUAUAUAUGUCAAAGCACUCUUUAUAGUGGCUCUUUUUAUGUUUGUGAUGCAACACAGGUAAAUUAACUCUCGUCACUUUGCUUCGCCGACGCAUGAUGAGAAUUGUCGCAUUCACAAAUGUGGACAAACAGCAAUCUCGACAUUUCUAGCUCGGGCCGUAUCCGCCCACUGCACUUAUGAGCCUCAGGAGAGGAAGACACAGAGACUCAUCUGCGCUGGAUUUCACCUGGAAGGUGACUGCUCCUAUAUUUCUGUAAGAGAAGAUCCGUUCAGUAUUUCCCAUCAUGGCAGAACACGGUGACCCUUGCACUGGAUCAGAGGCCAACUUUUGCAUGAAUGGAGGAACCUGCUUUAAAAUACCUUCAGUGUCGACACCCACCUGUGUGUAAGUGUUACAUCAGCCUAAACCUAUUCAAAGAAUGUCUUGCUAACAUUCCAGAUAAAGUUACGUUGAAAUGUCCUUAUUAUUAGUUA